UGGGGAAUAUUGCACAAUGGGCGCAAGCCUGAUGCAGCCAUGCCGCGUGUGUGAAGAAGGCCUUCGGGUUGUAAAGCACUUUCAGCGAGGAGGAAGGUGGUGAGCUUAAUACGCUCAUCAAUUGACGUUACUCGCAGAAGAAGCACCGGCUAACUCCGUGCCAGCAGCCGCGGUAAUACGGAGGGUGCAAGCGUUAAUCGGAAUUACUGGGCGUAAAGCGCACGCAGGCGGUUUGUUAAGUCAGAUGUGAAAUCCCCGGGCUCAACCUGGGAACUGCAUUUGAAACUGGCAAGCUAGAGUCUCGUAGAGGGGGUAGAAUUCCAGGUGUAGCGGUGAAAUGCGUAGAGAUCUGGAGGAAUACCGGUGGCGAAGGCGGCCCCCUGGACGAAGACUGACGCUCAGGUGCGAAAGCGUGGGGAGCAAAACAGGAUUAGAUACCCUGGUAGUCCACGCUGUAAAACGAUGUCGAUUUUGGAGGUUGUGCCCCUUGAGGCGUGGCUUCCGGAGCUAACG
rnacentral:rRNA from 1 species